rnacentral:rRNA from 1 species
GACGAACCGAGCGAACGUUAUUCGGAAUCACUGGGCUUAAAGGGUGCGUAGGCGGGCGAGUAAGUCAGGGGUGAAAUCCCACGGCCCAACCGUGGAAGUGCCUCUGAUACUGCGAGUCUAGAGGGAAAUAGGGGCGUGCGGAACUUCCGGUGGAGCGGUGAAAUGCGUAGAUAUCGGAAGGAACACCGGUGGCGAAAGCGGCGCGCUGGAUUUCUACUGACG